UGGGGAAUAUUGCACAAUGGGCGGAAGCCUGAUGCAGCGACGCCGCGUGAGGGAUGACGGCCUUCGGGUUGUAAACCUCUUUCAGCAGGGACGAAGCGUAAGUGACGGUACCUGCAGAAGAAGCGCCGGCCAACUACGUGCCAGCAGCCGCGGUAAGACGUAGGGCGCGAGCGUUGUCCGGAUUUAUUGGGCGUAAAGAGCUCGUAGGCGGCUUGUCGCGUCGAAUGUGAAAUCUCAGGGCUCAACUCUGACAUUGCAUUCGAUACGGGCAGGCUAGAGUUCGGUAGGGGAGACUGGAAUUCCUGGUGUAGCGGUGAAAUGCGCAGAUAUCAGGAGGAACACCGGUGGCGAAGGCGGGUCUCUGGGCCGAUACUGACGCUGAGGAGCGAAAGCGUGGGGAGCGAACAGG
rnacentral:rRNA from 1 species